GUGAAUCAUCAAAUCUUUGAACGCAAAUUGCACUCCCUGGUAUUCAGGGGAGUAUGCCUGUUUGAGGGUCGUUAGAAUAAAAAAUCGAGGCGACGCUCUUUUUUUUAAGGGGGAUCGCGUAGGAAUAGAGCGGUCUUUCAAAUGUUAAUUUAUGUAAAAGUGGCUUGAGAUUCAUUCAUGCGGUACGAUUAAGCGUAUAUAAGAUAAAUUUUGAUAAAGAAUGCGUGGUGUCGUACUAUC
rnacentral:misc_RNA from 1 species